AUCUUGGCUCUGGGUAAACAAAAACAAAACAAAAAAAGUACUGGAGCCAUCCUGCUCCCAGGCUGAAUGUCUCCUCUCUACACACUUCUGUUAGGAUUCUUCCAAGCUCUGCACCAUGAAGAUGCCAGCACCAGGUAUUUGGACACAGGGUCUCAAAAGGACAGGAUGAGGCUCAGACAUGCUCAUGCCUCAUACAUCAAAACAGCUGAAGGGUUCCUGUUACACAGCUGGACUUAUUGCUGAUCAGGUUAAGAAGCAACUUGCUGCUCAAGUGUAAGGAGGAUCCACUCACUCCUUCAUAAGGUAAUCUUAACAGGCACACUUCUUGCAUGGAAAACUGGAACCCACGUCACUCUUUUCUGUCAGCACUGUUACAAGAGUAGAGCUGCUCUCAGGACAGCCUUGGGUGCAUCACAUUGAUUGCCUCUAUUUUUAAACCUUCACCCAGUAAUGUUCCUUUAUGGACAUUAGGGACCCAUGUUUUUCCUGAGAUCAGUUACCUUUGCAUCAGCACUUACCAGCUGGUGGACAGACUUGAGUACAGAAAUAGGGUGUCAAUGCCGAGCGACUCCUGUCCUCCAUGUAUGGCGAUGAAGUCUAUUUUCCAUCCUGCCCUUGUUAAUGUUUCACUUGAACCUGGUAAUCCAUUUGCAAGCUGUUCCACUCAAAAGCACAACCAUCUGAGACUACCCAAUAUUCAGCCCUGAGUGACUUUCAUGUGGAAAUAUUAUUUACAAUAUGAAGGAAAUGCUUGGGUUCCCCACCCCACCCCACAAUUUGAAGUAAUCAGAAAGAAUGCCUCAAACAGAAUCACAUGCCAAGGAGCUAAGGAGAUUAACAUUCUCAGGGGAGCUCUGAAGAUCAUAUACCAACCGCAGCAGCAUCCCAGAUGGCUGCUGUAACAUGAUUCAGAAUUGAGAUUUCUUUAGCUCAAAGCAUGUUUCCUAAAAUUUUAUGAGUGUCAUUGCUGUUUAGCUAAUUAAGCCAUUUUCACUUUUGUACUGAAGGAGCAUUCAUAGCAGCAAAUUGAGGGUAAUUCACUUGGUAAUUAUUUAUUCCUUUUGUAUCCUGCCCUUCCUCUUAAGAGCUCAGGGCAAUGUACAUGGCUCUCACUUUAUUUUGCUUUUAGAUCAGACUAACCAUAGGAAGUAGAUUAGGCUGGAAGAGAUAGCAGCUGUCCCAAUAUCGCUUAGUGAGCUUCACAGCAGAGUUGGAAUGAGAUCCCAGGUUCCAAUCUAACCACUUCACCUCGCAUAAAUCACUGACCCCAAGAAGAUAUGUAGAGGAUAUCUCUCCAUCGCCUUUGCUGAUGGUGGAGACAGUCUGAAUUGCCAAUAAGCUUCUGAAGAAGAAGUCAUCUGACUGGAUUCUUUGUAAAUUGCUUAGAGGUUUUAUUUACAAUUAAGUGGUAUACAAAUUUGGUUAAUAAAUAAACAAUUGCAUCACUACCUGACCCUGAAAAGAAUCAAUGUGUUAUUUCCAGGUUUGAAUUUGCCUAUGUUGAAGUGCCUGCCUGAAUGAUUCAACCUACUCUCAUAGUGACCUGAUUCACAUAUAACACCAUGAACAAACGUGCUGGCUCCCAGGGAAAAGAUUGCACCUCCUGUGUUGUGCACUGCUGUCAGGAUUUGACCUUCAGCUGAAGCUUAUCCACCAAGUCCUGUAGCCUUAUCACAUUCUUCCUGUCCUCUUCACCCUAGAAAAGUGGCACCUUAUUAGGUGAUAUGUGAGCACUAGUGUCUUGCUCUUUCUUCAGCUCCUCUGCCAUCAUGGCCGCCUUGACAUACAAACAGUAGACUCCAGUCAACAGGUACACUCAGAGCAAAGGGCAGAAGCUCAGCAGAGUUUGAAAGAUCAACUUGUGACCACCAGAAAUGGCCUGCUGGGACCACCUCAAUAACAAAGGUGACUGGUCAUCUGCUAUCCAGGGUGCCAGGUGCAAACAAAGGAAGGACAGGCCAAAUGCAAGGUGACAGCAAUAGGAAGGAGCAUGGCAUGAGGCAAAACAGCCCCAUAACAGAAAAAGGCAGCUCAUGAACAGCCUGAGAUGGAUGUGAAGGUCAGCAGGUUAACAGAAUUUCGAGAGACCUGUAGCAGAUAUCUUUUGGUGCAAGCCCAACCAUAUCUACUCAGAAGUAAGUCCAUUGGUGCUUUCUGCCAGAUUCGAAUGCCUUCAAGCACUCCAUUACAUCGUAGCUGGUGCAGGACAAGCUUGUGAUCCAUUGCACCUGUGGAAGAGAAAAACCAAAAUAGCAGCUUUUCCUGAUACUCAACUGAAGUCCUGCUGGAAAUUGAUGUCAGAUUGUCUUAGUUACCUGGAGUUUUAGUUUCAUUGGGGAUGAUGCAGCGCACAAAAUGUGGCACGAACAUGUGAUGGUUGAAAAACUGUUGCAGUUUCUCAUUGGUGAAGUUGAUGCAGAGCUGCUCCAGGCUGUUGUACUAACACCAGAGUAUAUUAUGUUAAUAUGAUGACUUUGGUUUCAAAGGUACACAGGUAAACAUUUUUUAGUAUUAAUUCUUCAUUAAUUAUUUUAGAGUAAAGAAGGAGGCUAAGCAGAAGGGAAUAAUGGGACAUUUUCUUAAUUAAUGGCACUUCUUUGAGGUUAGGGAGGAACUUGUCCCUCUCCAAAGGGGAAGAGAAGAUACAAAACUGGUUUUAGCCUUUCCAUUGGAGAAAGUUUACAGGAUGGGGAAAUUACUCUUCCCAGCACCCCAUAUCACCCAUUACAACCAUGCACUGGGACAGAGUGCACAAGGCAUAGUACAUUUAUAUAAAUAUUUAUAAGCCGACUUUCUGGAACAAGUUCAGCCAAGGCAAUUAAUCUGGCUGUUACAAGAGAGGCAAGAAGUUGCAAUGGGUCCACAUACCUCAAAGAUUUCAAAGCCUGCAAUAUCUAAGACCCCAAUGAAGUGUUGCCUGGACAGCUUUGUAUCCAGCUGUUGGUUGAUGCGAAGUACCAUCCAGAAAAAUAGCUUUUCGUAGACAGAUUUGGAAAGGGCAUUGACAGCAUGAUGCACCUGCAGGCAACAGUCCAGGAAAUUAGGGGCCAGUACAUACUGUAGUUAAACAGUGUUGCUGAAACAAGUCACUGCACAAAUUGUUAGAGCUCAAUUGGUAGAGCAUAAGACUGUUAAUCUCAGGGUUGUGGGUUUGAGCCCCACAUUGGACAAAAGAUUCCUGCCUUGCAGGGGCUGGAAUAGAAGACCCUUGUGGUCCCUUCCAACUCUAUGAUUCUAUUAAUCACUGCCUGGCCUAGGAUAUGGAAUCACCCAGGAAUAAUAGUGUUAGCUAGUCAAGAUGGAAACUGAAUGAUCCCAGCUCAGAAACCCAGCGCAAGAGGCGAGUAGCUUAAAUAUCUGAUCUUUCUACUUCAAACUUCUCCUUCCAAGUUGGGGUGGGGAAUACAAGUUGCUUUACCACAGGGCUUCCUAAAAGAAGAUGACGGUGGUACUGGGUGUCAUGUAGAUGUUGUCUCUUCUCACCAGAAAUUCUUAUCUAUCUAUCCCAAACCACUGCAAAUGCCCUAUGGAUUCCCUGCUGUUGUGACCUUUUCUGAAUAGUGCUCCAGUGGCAUUAAUCUAGCUGGGAUGGAUGUUACCAGGACAAAACAGAUUUUCCCCCAAACAUGUAAAUCCUUACUAAGCAGCAUACUGAAAGGAAGAAAUGUACCUUGCCUGAGUAAGAGCCCCUCACGUAAGCUAAUAAAUGUUUUUGAUCUGGUGCAUGGCCUCACCUGGUCCACUGUUUGACCUUUGGUCACAUAUUCAUUUCCCACUUUCACUCGGGGAAAGCAUAGGGCUUUCAAUAAAUCUGCAGAAUUCAGGCCCAUCAGAUAAGCUGCUUUGUCAGCCUCUACAAAACAACGUAGGAGAAGCAAAUAUUGAUGGAACUCUUUCAGGACAGCCAGAAAGCAAUAAUCAUUUGAGAAUGGGAUAGUCAUGAUUAAAGUUGUAGCUGCAAUUGUAAUUUACUCAUUAUAAUUAAGACAGGGAGAGCGAUUCAGAUUAAUUGCCAAAAGCUGAUGUAUAUAAUCUCUUUUAAUGCGAAAUCUUUCCAGGGAUGCUUUGCACAUCUCACGUGAAAAUUCUCUCUCCCCACCCCCCAUGAGAUCUGGAAACUGGCUUUUUUUAAUGGUGUAUGCCAGAGAUCUAUUACCUUCACUGCCAUCUGGCUCUGCCUGCUCCUCUCGUGGUUUCUGCUUGAACUUCAUGUUUCCAUAAUGCAUCACUGCCCCAGUUAGUUUAUAGAUUCCAACUCUCUCUUCAGCAGUGAAGCCCAGGAUGUCUAUAGCCGUCUGUAAGAUAGUUCAUGCAGAAAUUAGCUGAAAUUGUUACUCAGUAUUUAUAUUAGCAGCAGCACUUAUACUUACAUCUGUAGCUAUUAGUUCCUCUUGGUCAUCUAUGCUUUGUACUGAAAUCUCCCCUUGGCUUAUAAAUGGAUAGUCAUAAGGGUUUGUUGUAAUGAGAAGCAUUUCUGAAAUGAAAUUAGAAGAGUCUGAUCAUCGCCACAUUAACAUCUUAGAUUAAGAUACAGAAGGAGAGUAAAUGGUUCUGAGCAAUUCUCCCCCCCCCCCUUCCCAACCAGUUCUGUGUAGCUCUGGUUGAGCAACUAAUGUAAGAUCCUCUUCUGCUUUACCAGAUAUUCUGAGACAUUCAGGAAGGAAAUAAAUGAGAAUCCUGCUUACCAAUAAGUUCAGGCUUCUUAUUGGAGAGAAUCUGAUAGAAAAUAUGGUAACUUCUCUCAGCCUUCAGCUGAAAAGUUACUCUUGAUUUUUCCAGCAGAUCUGCAACAAAGAUUCACAUUUAAUGUUUGUAAACCCGAUUUAAUAUUUGACUGGCUGUGUUCCAAUCUGGAUACUUACAGGUCUCAAUAUCUGCAGAAGCCAGCUUUCCAGUUGCACCAAAAUGAAUCCGAAUGAAUUUGCCCUGCAAAGUACAGAGAAGCAAGUCAUGACAGAGAUCCAGGGACUUUCAGAAAACACAACUACAUCUGUACCAGGAUUAGAUCUACAGUAUUAUGGAUUUUUCAUUUUAACAUUUUUGCUUGUUUGCUUAUUGGAAUUACUCCUUAUGUUUCUGGAUGGAAGGGGCAUUGAUUUCUGUGUUAUGUUUCUAUUUUUAAUGGAAGGUGUUAGUUGCUUUGGUGGCUCAGUUGAAAAACCAAAAGAUGAGAUAUACCGUAUUGGCCUGAAUAUAAGCUACACUUAUUCCAACCGUGAAAAGUUAAAGUGCAGCUUAAAUUUACGAGCUUACAAAAAUUGGCUUUCACGAUAUCACUGUAGGAUUUUCUUCUACAUUUGCCAUUUAUGGGUGUGAGUGCCUGUGGAAUUUUAAGGGAGCGACUUAUAUUUGGGUAUUGUCUCUCUCUCCCCCCCCCCCCCGGUUGUAUUUUAAAGGUGCGGCUUAUUUGCUGGUGUGGCUUAUAUUCAGGCCAAUACACUAACUGUUUCAAUAAACAAAUGAUUUCUGUAAACAGGGCCAGCCCUCUUAGUAGGCAGAGUGAAGCAGCUGCUUCAGGUGGCAAAUGUUGAGGACUGGUGCUAGAGGUGUUGAAGGACAAAUCUCUGUGUGCUCUACAGCUUGUCCUGGGGCUCCUAAGCUAGUCUGCUAACCCCAAGUACAUUAGAAAAUGCUAUUCUAUUGCUAGAGCUGAAUCCCAGCUUUUGGCUAUUUGCAUUUAUUGAUGUGCACAGCUCCGCUUCCUUCUCUGAAAUGCAUCAAUUUGCAAGCUGCUUUCUUAAAAUGAGAUAAGUUUAGAAGAUAUGAAAAGAUCCUACUGAAGCACUUCAAAGUCUUGGCACUGGUGUAAAGUAAAACUGAUAUGUGAAUUGCCUGUUAAUUUCUCAGCAACUACAAAGCAAGCCACAUCUCUUCAGCAGGACUUCCUCCACGGCAACACCUUCAUGAUCAGUCCCAGGAUGUGAAAUGCAAACACAAUAAUGAGACAGCUGAUAUUAUUGGCUAAAAAAAUUGAUAAAGACUUUUAGAUCCUACAAUGUAUGCACCACUCACAAAGCGAGAGGAAUUGUCGUUCCUGACAGUCUUGGCAUUUCCAAAGGCCUCCAGUAGGGGAUUGGCACUGAUGAUCUGGUCUUCAAGUGUCCCCUGUAAAAGCAAAUGAAAAGAAAAUAUUUGAAAAGUGAAUAAUAAAACAAUGGAAGUAGCGGUUAUUGAAUGUACAUGGAUAAAUACACAAGACUUUGGGCACAAUGCUAUGCUCACAAUGCUAUAUUCUACAGCUAAGUGUUAGCUUUCCGCAUUAGUUUUCAUGAAAAACUACCCCUGAACUUGUUUCACUCUCCAAUUUGACCAAGCCUUAAUUAGAUCCUUAAGUCUGAUUAACGUGAAGAAUGCCUGGGUCAUGAAUGGACCUUGAGUCAUAUAUAGUUUCAUUUUAGGACAAGUGAUUGGUCUUGGGUAUUCAGAUGUGUUCAUUAUUCCCUGCACCAAGCAGGGAUCUGAAAGUGACUCAAGGGUUCAAGUGCAUGCAUCCCUUUAGCUACUGUAUGAUCCCUUCCCAGUUUGCUUGGUUUUUUUGGAAGUUUGACUCUGAAAUGCUCUGGUAUAGAGAGGAAGGGAAUGAAGAAAUGAAAAAAGAAAAAGGGAGGAAAAGAAAGGAAGAGAGACAGGAGACAGCAAACUGUAAGAAACUAAAGGUGAAUUAAGAAACAGUAUAUGGCCAUGCUUUUCAUACUACAUCCUUUUUUCCCUGGAACAAGAUACAAAAGUAUGGCUAGAACAGCAGGAAAUUCUCUGUGCAUCUCAACUAGAACCAUUUCUGUGUAAGGAAUUAUUUGUCCUUUCCACCACCUGGACAGCUGUCCAUGGUACUGUGUUGCUUAGAGGCACACUUAGACUAGUGGCUGGAUAUAGCCACAUUUCACAACCCGUUUGGGGCAGAGGAAGAUAGGUAAUGCAAAACAAGAAAAGGAAAAAAGAACAACAUACUCUUCAACCACUUCCCUUUCUCAGCAGUUGCCGUGAAAAUUAUUGAGAUCAUGAUUGCAAAACAUGCUAUAUGCUGGAAGUGCUACAUAGCUUUUUAUUGUAACUGCUCUGGAAGCAAGCGUCAUGAGCACAUCACAGAAUGAAUUAAUUAUUGCUUAGAAAUACACAGCCCUUAUUUUAAAGAAAAAGCAUGGUUUUAAAAAAUCUUCAUGAGGCUAUCCAAUGUGGAUCCAGUAAGUGAAGUCUCAGGGCUUGAAGGAUUGUGAUACUUUGGCUGGAAGCCCCAUUGUUUUUUAAUUGAUGAAGGAAAUUUUGUAUACCUGAUCACUUAACAGAACAGAGUACAGUUGUACAUUGGUUUUCGAACAGCCUAGUUCUCAAACGUUUUGGCCGCAAACCUGGAAGUGACUGUUUCGGUUUGCGAACUAUUUUUGGAAGCCGAACGUCCAAUGGGGCUUCCGAUUAGCUACAGGAGCUUCCUGCGGCCAAUCAGAAGCCACACUUUGGUUUCUGAAUGUUUUGGAAGUCUAACGGACUUCCGGAACAAAUUUCUUUUGACUUCCAAGGUACGACUGUAUAACCAUUCAGGAAGUUGUUCAGAGUCAAUGGUUCUUCAGCAGUGCCUUUUGUAUGCUUACAACCACAGGUUUAUUUGCACUAAUGCCAGCCCAUCUCGUCCUACCUUCAUCUUGGAUUGAGAUUCCUUUUUCUUAGCUCCUUCUCCAGUAGCUGCAAUUGUUGCAAAGUACUGGAUGACACGCUUGGUGUUGACAGUCUUUCCAGCACCAGAUUCUCCACUGCCGCGAUAAAAGCAAGCAUCAUGUAAAGAAAAAUGGAAGACCAUUACUUAUGUUACAAUUGUACUUUGGCAAUAUGAAGUAGGACAAACCCAAAGCAUCUGCUUACGUGAUCAGGAUAGACUGGUUUUCGCGAUCUGGCAGAAGGAAAGAGAGAAGCAUGCUCAUUAUACUGCAGAGGCAUAUGCUGAGUUACAGGUUCAACCCCUGGAUUAAUUUCCCUCAAAUCUGGGCAUGUGAUAAAGGUUUACUAAGGGUACCAUGAUCCUCCAAUUCCAUUCUGCUUAUAACACCUUAUUCCCCUUUCAGCUGUGAAGUAAACGUACCAGUUAGCAUGAACUGAUAGGCGUUGUCAGAGAUGGCGAAGAUAUGGGGAGGCAUUUCUGUGCGCUUUUUGCCCCGGUAGCCAGCCACCACUUCUGGAUUGUAUACAGGCAGCCAUUUGUAUGGAUUAACAGUGACACAGAAGAGGCCCGAGUAGGUCUGCAUGAAAACCAAUAAAAAUACGGUUAGACUCUGUCCCUUUGGGGAUUCCUUUCUGUGGACCAGGACAGCACCACUUACAUAAAUCAUCCAGGAGCUGUAGCGAUCUUUGAGGUUAUACAAAACAGCAGGUUCAUGCAGAUGCGUCAGCAUGGCCAUGUCCUCAAUUCUGUCAAACUUAGGUGGGUUCAUAGAAUACACAUCAUCUGGCUUGACAGUCAGAGUCUGAAAUGCAAAGAAGGAAGGACUUUUGAUGAGGAAUGGCUAUGCCACAAUGUAAGUUUGCAAUACAAAUGAAAUUAUUUCAAUAGUGAUGGCAUAUAUUUAGGACCGACACUAUUUUUGUGAUUUUUUAAAUAAUUGUAAGUUUUUAAAACUUAUUAAUGAUGUUUAUUUAAAUUAUUGUAACCCACCCUGGGAUCUUGAGGUGAAAAUUGGGAUAAUAAUAAUAAUAAUAAUAAUAAUAAUACCACCUAUCUUCAAGACAGACCGAAAACUCUUUCUGUAGAAAUUAAUAUACCUAUUAUAGAGAUGUUAUCAGUAGCUCAUCCCAGCAGUUUAAGUACUUCGCAAAUUUUGUCCCAGUUUUGAUCAGAACAAUCCAGUUGGAAAAUCUUAGCACAUGCUUAUUGAAAAGGAGGACUCCACACCCCACCCCAAAUCUUCAAAGACACUCACCCUGCCAUCAUCUGUGUCCACGGUAGUUUUGCCACCUUCAGUGCCCUUAAUUUUCCCUUUGGCAUAUUCCUCUUUUGGAUCAGCCACGUAGCAAUAGGUCUUGGCAUCAAAGGGUUGGUUCUGAGCCUCUAUUCUCUCCUUCUCAGUUUUUCGGAGAAAGGGGGCAGCCACCCCAAAAAUCUCCAUUUCUGCAUCACUGCUCAUUGCUGCAGCUAAAAGUGAGACAGGAGGGUCAGUCCUUGUUCUGUGGAAGCCUAGGAAACUUGAACUAGAGACAUCAUGUUCAGACAAUACCAGACACGGUCCCUAUUCCUUAAUCUAAUAAGAGUGUGCAGCAGUGUGAAUGAUCCCUUUUGUAAGCAGAACAGAAGGUCCAGCUAUUCCCACACACUCCCAUUUUCUCUGUAAUCCUGACAUUAUGUACUACGCCAGGGGUAUACCAUGUACAGGCAGGGACCGGGGUUACAUCCCAGACCGCCCCCCCCCCCAUGUCAGUGGGCCCGUGUAAAACUGCACUGCACCACCCUGUUAUGCUCCCACCCCGUUCCAACCCCUUUUGUGACAUUUUUGUGAUGUCUUCAGGUCACUUUCAGAUUUGGGCCAAUGUACAUGGACAAGUUUAAAACAAAAUAAAAAAAAUCCUUCAGUAGCACCUUAAAGACCAACUAAGUUUUUAUUUUGGUAUGAGCUUUCGUGUGUAUGCACACUUCUUCAGAUAAAGAAGAAAAGCUUGAUUCUUUAGCGCCUCAGCCCUUGCUUCCCCACCCCCCAGGACUAAUUGCAGUCAUCAUCAGUCGUUAACAGCCAUUUACAGGUUUACCACUCCCAUCAGCCCAUCACCCAUUCCCACCCACCCCCACCACCCUCUGUAUAUAUAUAGGGUCUGACACUUCUGUUUCUACUGUAUCUGAAGAAGUGUGCAUGCACACGAAAGCUCAUACCAAAAUAUAAACUUAGUUGGUCUUUAAGGUGCUACUGAAGGAUUUUUUUUAUUUUGCUUCGACUCAGACCAACACGGCUACCUACCUGUAAGUUUAAAACAGUCAUUGCCUUUAGUGCCACCCAGGUGUUAUUGGACUCCGGUUCCCAUCAGCUCAAGUCAGUGGUGAUGAUGGGAGUUGAAGUCCAAAAACACCUGAAAUAUGUGGCAUUGGAAUUUGCCCUUAAUAUGCUUCUUACAUUGCUUUAUUUUUAUCUGCAACUGUCCUAAGAACUUUGUUAAAGGGCAAAAUAUCAAUACCAAGGAGAAUUAAGAAUGAAUAUAAGUAAAUUGCCAUUCUGAAGCAAAUAAUAACAAUAGUGAGGAUAGUCUAGCAUCCAUGAUAUAGUUGCACAAAUACAAAAUCUGGAAUCUAGAAAAGAAUGCAGCACCUUGCAACUGAUUGUUUUUUUAAAAAAAAGUUUCAAAAGGAAGCAUAAUAAUUUGAAAGAGAAGCCUCAUGAAAUACAAAAGUAAUUAUCACAAUUGCAUCCUGCCCUGUGAUAAUUUUGUCAGAAAACAUCAAUUAUGCAAAACAAUUGCUUGUAACAUAGCCUGAUUUGUAUAUUCGAGUCAAAUUAGUUACUUUGGUAUAGAAUUGUUAUUAUUAUAAUUCUGUGAAUAGCCUAUCUGGUGCAGAAAAAAAUCGUUUGUUUACGUUAUCUUGGUAGGAUCACUCCUCUUUCUGGAGCCAUCCAAACCCACCCAAAGAGACCAAAUGCUUCCUUCCUUGAGUGCUUUUAAAUCUAGGCAUCUAGCAUAUGUUGCUUGUCACAGCAAGGCCUGAGAUGGGUGGGUGGUUUGUUUUUUUUAGUUCUACACAUUCCUUAGGCACCUCUGUUGUGCCUCCUACUUUCAAGUUACAUUUUAUUGGCUCAGAACAUGGGAUGAGAUGAACAAGUAAGAUGGUAACAGGAACUCCUGGGCAGGGGAAAGACUUGGUUUACUCCCACUUUCAGCGUUCCUGCACUCAGUGUAAAUGGAAGCCCCCUUUUCUUUCAUCAGGCUGUGUCUGUGUUGCUGUUGAAUGUCCCUGUGUACUGGGAAAGGGGAGGAAGGAGAGAAGGGGUAGUGGCUGUGAAAAUAUAGGAUUACUCGAGAUAUGAAGUGGCAACUGUGCUAAGCAGAAUGCUGAUUGAAUUUUGCAGUAGCAUGUGUCUGCAUGUGCUGUGAGUGAGAAACAAAGAACCCUCAACCACCUGCUGCAGGCAGUUUCAGGGGAUGGAACUGCUGCUUCCGAUGAUGAGAGAUUAGGGAUCUCACUUGGGAAAGAGAUCAUGUUAAACGUCUUCCGGAGGAGUAGCCAUAUUCAUCUAUUGCAGUGAAAACAAUGGAGUGCUGUGGCUGCUUAAAAGACUAACACGUUUAUUGGCGAUAAGCUUUCAAAGAUUACAGUCCACUUCAUCAGAGGCGUGAAGUGUUCUCCUUAGUUAUAGGGAGGGGUGGGUGUGGGUGUGUGCUCCCGCGCAUGGUUUGUGGGGAGGAUUGUAAAGGCGAGGUCAGAGAGAAAUGAAAUGCAGAAAAAAGUAUAGUGACAAUUACAUACUUAAGAAGGGUGAUUCACAUAAUAGUUCACGAUGACACAGACAUCCUGUUAAUGGUAAGCCAGUGAACACAUAAAAACCUAAAAAAUAUUUGUUUCGCUUCCAUCCACAAGUGAUAACAUUCAAGUGCCUGGUGUAUUGUAAUUCAGGGACUGGCCUGUUUGUAAAAUGCAGAUGGGCAUUCUUGGCAGAUGACGACACAUAUCACAUUAGCAGAUGUGGAGGCGAAUGAACCCCUGAAGUUGUGGUUGACAUUAUUAGGUCCUGUGAUAGUGUUUCCAGAGUAGAUAUGCAGAGAGCGAUAGAAUCAUAGAAUUGUAGAGCUGGAAGGGACUAUGAGAGUCCUCUAGUCCAUCUCCCUGCAAUGCAGGAAUCUUCUACCCAAUGUGGGUAGAAGAGAUUAUUGUUUUGUUUUUGUUAUUUUCAUUAUGCAUUUUGUGUUUUUUAUAAUGUAAUUUUCUGUUGCAAACCGCCCUGAGAUCUACAGGUUAAGGGUGGUAUACUAAAAAAAAAAAACACACACACUAAACAACUAAGUACUUUUCUACAUUUUAUUUCUCUCUGACCUCACUUCACGCAACCCCCUCAUCCCAACUCAUGUAACUCAAGAUAACACUUCAUGCAUCUGAUGAAGUAGAUUGUAGUCCAUAAAACUUCAUGCCAUUUUAAAUUAGUUCAUCUUUAAGAUGCUGUAAGACUCUUUGUCAAAUACUGAAUGCUGGAAAAUGAUAACAUAAGUGCAUGGGAGAUUGGUUUUUCCAAGAAAUGGUCCACCUAUUUCUUAUAAUAUCAUUCUUUCACCCACAAUUUUCAGGCAGGAAAGUCAAAGUAUAGGGUGGUACUUUCCCUCUCCUCAAUACACAAGCACAGAAGCACUGCAGUUAUUAUCACUCCACAGCAGACUGAUUGAGAAAAUGAAAUUGCAUCACACAAAAAGUAUCAAUAACAGUCAUUUGGGAGGUGGGGUACGGGUGGGACUCAUAGCACCACACCUUGACUUCUCACCUUUUUAUUUUCCACUCCCAACAGAAAGAAGAAAGGAACUGGAUGAAAUAAGACGUCUAAUCUAGAAAGGAGCAGACAGCGUAAGCAUUCAUGAGUCCAGGAUCCUCAACAGCUGAGAAUUUUUUAGAAUCCCAAAAUACACUGCAGAAAUGGACCCUCUUCCCUCUAAAAUGCCUCCUCAGAGCAAAGUGCCUUUAAGCUCAGCUAUAGUAUAAAUUUAUUGUCUAAAUUAACACUUGGCUGCCCUGAAAUCCCUCCCAAAGUGGGAAGCUCUGGAGUAUGUUGCCCAUAUUGCAGGAGGGAGGGGAUAGGGGAUGGGGAUGGAGGGAGAGAGACUGAUUAUCAAACUUACCUCUCACAGCUCGCAGCCACCAGUAAGCCUUUCAUCUCCUUCAGCUUUUAUAGGCUGUGAUUCUUCUCUUAGCUCAACCCCUCUCUAUAUUUGGAAAUCAGAGACUGGUCCUAAAGCCUGCUUGCCACUUAUACACUUAUUUACCCUCAGAAAAUGUAUUAAUAGAAAUGACCAAGUUUAGUCAUUAUUUAUCAGUUGUGAUACUUUGGCAUGGAAGCUCACCGUUUCUUUAAACUUGGGAGGUAAUGCCAGUGCAGGAGAGACCUGGUGUCUGAUCCCUUUAAAAAAGAGAGUUUGUGGCAGUUUUUCCAUUUGGCGCUCUUAUUGGAUCAAAUCCUGCAAAUAUACUUGCAUUUUAGUAGCCGGGCAAACAGCUAUUUUAUCAAUUACAUUUUAAGAAUCAGUUACAUUUUCAGCACUAAAAUGCAACCUCUGAUAUUCCCAAACACAUGUGCAAUACAGUGGUACCUUUGUUUAAGUACACAAUUGGUUCUGGAAGUCUGUACUUAACCUGAAGCGUACUUAACCCGAAGUAUGAGUGUAAUUGGUUCCAGAAGUCUGUACUUAAACUGAAGCGUACUUAACCUGAAGCGAACUUUCCCAUUGAAAGUAAUGGAAAGUGGAUUAAUCCGUUCCAGACGGGUCAGCGGAGUACUUAAACUGAAAGUACUCAAACCGAAGCGUACUUAAACCGAGGUAUGACUGUAUAUAUAUUUAUACAUGCAUUUGCCUGCAGUUUGAACCCAUAUGUGGAAACAUGUAUUUUCCUGGUGUAAUGUGUGAAGAAGCAUCCACUAUCAGCAGGAAUGUUGACACUAAAGAAACUCUCUUUUUUGUUUUGCCCAAGCAAAGCCUCAGGUAAAAAUGACAGUAAGAAAACAGAACACUGGGAAUUAAGCAUAGAUGGUCAUGUGUCCAUUCACACACACAAACUCACACUGCAGGAAAUUAUAUGUUCAAUCUGGUUGAGGGAGAUCAUCUGGUUGAGGGAGAUCAUGUGGGUCUUUCUGCCAUCCAAAUUGGUCCUGCUCACAUGAUUACAAUGGUGUAGGCUGCACUACAAGGGAUUUAACUCCCUUUCUGUGUUAAAAGGGAAGAGGGAUAAGAAUGUACAGAAGGGCAAGCUUUGAAAGAGUGACUGAAUAAAAAGUGAAGUCAAGACAGGAAUAAAUAAUUGCAAGCCAUUUUGAGGACCCUUCUUACUUUGUAAGAUUUAUUGUCUGCCCUUCACCAGGGCAGGUUGAAGUGUAUAGAGUUAUAAAAGCAAGUACCGUAAUACCAUUCCAACAAAAAUGAAGUAUAGAUUCAAUAAAAAAAAAUGGUGGAUUCUACAAAACAAAAUAGUUUAACUGUCAAAGGCCAGAAUUUUGUAUGGAGAGAGUUAAAGGACUUUGGUCAAAAAUGAAAUAUGAAUCCCCUGAAUGAAUGAAUGAAUGAAUGAACGAAAAAAGACCUGUAACAUCCCAGGUCAGGAGAACAGGUCCUUAAUAUUUAACAAAGAUCUAGUUAUCGUCUCUGACACUUUUGUCCUUAUCCUUAAGGGUUUAUCAUCAGCUUGCCACUGUCCUGAACAGGCAUGACCUCCUAAGCAGCAUGCCAAAGAAUUAAAGCUAUGCUACCAAAGAGGGAAUCGGUAACAGCUGAUGAAAGCAGACGUUGUGUAAAUCAAAACAUACUAAUGAGAAACAAAGGGCAAGUAUCUUAAAGCAGGGACACUCCCAGGCUAGUCAUCCACUUCACAGAAAGUGGGGUUCCAAACCCAUACUGCUUUUGAAUUCCUUGUUUUAAAAAUUUAUAUUUUACCUAUUUUGUGGGAUAAAUUUUGUAGGAGAAAUUUGAGGCAUAUCACAAUCAAAAAGAGUUAUAAAUCUGCUAUCAAGGCUCAUUGCAUGUGAUACGCUUUCCAGAGCCCCCUUCCCAGCUCCUGACAAUGGAAUAUAUAAAUAUAUUUAAAUCAGCCACUUUUAUUGUGUGUGUUCCUAAUAUUUAUUGCAAUAAGGAAUCAUGUGGAAUUAUAGUUUAAGGAGCUAUUUUCAAAAGGUGUCUAAAUAGAAUCUAAAGCAUUACUUAUUUUCCUAUCAAAUUUAUAUCCUGCCCUUUCUGCUGAAGAAAGGACACAUCUGUAAUAAAAAAUAAAGUUAAAAAUAAAAUGAAAGCAUAGUUAAAACAUUUUAAAAUCAUUAAAAAUGUUUAUAACAAUCAAACAUGUAACCGAUCAUGUGUCUUAAUAGGCCCACCAAAAUAGAAAUGUUUUCAGUAGGCAUCUAAAAGAAUACAAUGAUAGCCCCUGCCUAUUGUCAAUAAUCAGAGAUUUCCAAAGCACAGAUACUGUCACACUUUAGGCAUGACUCCUGACCAACGCAGCAGUGCAAGUUUGGUAGGUCAAAGUGAACCAGCUCAUAUGGGAUAAGGCUUUUCCUAAAGGUAACUGGUCCCAAUCCAUUAUGAGCUUUAUGUACCAGUGGUAACACUUGAACUCAGCCUGGUGGCAAACUGGCAGCCAGUUUAGAUAUUUGUCAAAUACAAAACAAGCAGCACGCAAGGGCACCAGAUUCAAUCAAGUUUCAAUCAAGUAUUAUUAAUCCAAAGAGAAAACAAUAAGAGAACCAUAUACAAGUGCUGACACAGAAGCCAAAAUCAAACGUUAAACAGAUAGCAUGUACAAAUAAAAGGCAAACCAGUCUUUAUAGUCUUUGAGGCUAUAUAGCGGUCAGAUAUUUGAGCUCAGGUAAGGUAAAGGUAAAACGUAACGGACCCCUGGAUGGUUAGGUCCAGUCAAAGGCAACUACAGUGGUACCUCGCAAGACAAAAAUAAUUCGUUCCGCGGGUCGCUUAGUCUAGCGAGAUUUUUGUCUUGCGGAAACAAACGGCAGACGGCAAAAAAAAGCAGCAAAAAAGAAUUCGUCUUGCGAGACGCGGCCAUAGAAAGCUUCAUCUUGCGAGGCAACAAAGAAUCACUAGACGCUUUCGUCUAGCGAGUUCUCUGUUGUGCGAGGCAUUCAUCUUGCGAGGUACCACUGUAUAGGGUGCAGCGCUCAUCUCACUUUUCAGACCGAGGGAGCCAGCGUUUGUCCACAGACAGCUUUCCAGGUCAUGUGGCCAGCAUGACUAAAAUGCUACUGGCGCACGGAGGACUGUGACAAGUGCCAGAGUGCAUGGAAACCUGUUUUGAGACAUCAAACAGCUGUGCAGUUUCCAUUUAACCAAUAUGGUGGCUUGUUUCUGAGGCAGGUGAAGAAACUACAGAUUGCAGGGAUGUAGCCUAGAGCCUAGAGUUACUUCCAUCCAGCUCCAGGUAGAGUGAGCAGCAAGCUGUCCUCUCUUUCACUUGAGGUCACUGAAGAAUGGUCAAUAAACAGCCACAUCUCUCAUGAAAAAUGAAUUCUUAGAAUCCUCUCUAAGCUGGGAGAAUGAGCUCUUGUCUUUUUUUAGCAGCAGCCUUCCAUGGUUAAGCGUCUUUUGAAUGUACUGCCUUGUUUGUAUUAGGUGUCCAUGGAAAGUUGAGAUGCUCCAGAAGCAUCCAUUUUAUGCUAGGCUUCAAGCACAAGGAUAAGAAUUUUGCAGGGUGAUUUUGAUGGUUGGAGAGAAAGGGAACAUGGGGGCUUUCCCACCACAUAGAAGAACAAGCAGGCAGCAGCCACAGAUCUGGGUUCCAAAGAGCUGCCUUUGCAAAUUAAGGCUCCUUCUUUUUUCUAGUAGGUUAAUGUUACCCACUGGGCAGCAAAGAUUAGAGAAAAUUCAGCAACAGACUUUAGCCACAGCCAUUAAGGACCAAGCAAUACUGCAUUAUUGCCUGUAUCCAGAACUAUUACACGGUAAGCAACUGCUGUUCAUCUGCUGUGAAUUCUGUUAUUUGAAGUGUCUUCUAUUCUAACUAUGUGAUUAAUAUGCACCAGAGAAGCUCAGCUUCUGGAUCUUGAAGUACAGUAGAGCAAAGUUUUAUCUGGGAGCCAGACAUUUAUUCAACUCCACCUGAAGUUGUCAGCUCCUAGCCAGUGUGGUGUAGUGGUUAAGAGCGGUAGACUCAUAAUUUGGUGAACUGGGUUUGCGUCUCCGCUCCUCCACAUGCAGCUGCUGGGUGACCUUGGGCUAGUCACACUUCUCUGAAGUCUCUCAGCCCCACCCACCUUACAGAGUGUUUGUUGUGGGGGAGGAAGGGAAAGGAGAAUGUUAGCCGCUUUGAGACUCCUUAGGGUUGUGAUAAAGUGGGAUAUCAAAUCCAAACUACUCUUCUUCUUCUUCUUCUUCUUCUUCUUCUUCUUCUUCUUCUUCUUCUUCGGUCUUUUAGAGUUAUAUGUCAGGGGGGAAAUGCUUUGGGUGCCAGAGAAGUCCUUAAGUCACCUAAGGAGAACAAGAUAAAAAAAUCACAGAUAAAUGUAUGGAGCAGAGUAUUUGCCUAGUGUGUUUCUUUAGAUGACAUUGAACUAUUACGACUGCAGUCCUAAAAAUGUUAUGAGGGGUUUAAGUCAGUUUAGACCUGUUUACUAAAUGAGACUGGCACCUUUCAAGAUUAGUGCUGGUGUCAUGUGCUUGGAAUUCCAAAACUGGCAUUAUGUGCUAUUAUGUGAUGUUGCACUGCUAUGGCAAUGGGACAGCUCUUAGGAUCAUACCACAAACCUGUUUAUAUCAUGAGAGUGAGGGUGGAAGGAACCUGGGUUUACCUCCAUCUCUGCCUUAAAUAAAUCACUCUCUCUCAGCCUCAGAUCCAUAUUCGUUAAAUUAAGAGGGCUUUGGCCAAUUUGGUGCCCUCCAGGUGAUGUUAGACAACAAUUCCCUUCAUCCCUGACAUUGGUCAUAUUUGCUGUGGAAGAUGGAAGUUGGAGUCCAACAAUAUCUGGAGGGGACCCCAUGUUGAACUAUCCCUUGUUAUAAAGAAUAGCUGCGAGCUGUAUCAAUUCCAAGCAGUAGCAGAAGGAGAAAUGUAAGUCUAAAUACCUAAUCUAGUUAAACACUCUGGCUUCAAAUGAGAUUCUCCAUGCCCCACAACCUUUACAGAUCAGUCUAAAGUAUGUUUCUUGCAUUUCAAAAUUCCUAUAUAUACAGAAUUACCGCUCACCCAUCUAAGCAGUGGGCGGGGUUUGCGACCUGGUGUGGGCUUCCCAAGCCUGGGUGACACCCCAUCGCUGACUGGCCGUCACUCCGCCUCCUUUUUGGCUGGCCAAUCAGCAGCUGACUGAGAGGUGGGGUGAGGGCCAGGUAGGAGAGGCUCCUGCCGGCCAUCUCCUCAGUUGGUAUUCAUUGUCUCUGAUUGUCUAUGCAAUUCAGCAAAGCAAAACCAUUGAUGUUAAUGGUUUUAUUUAUAUCUAGUUCUGUGCUUCAAUGUACAAUGGUGCACACAUGUAGCAAUUGCACAUUCUGAUCUACAUGUAGGUUCCCCAUUCAUUCCUAUGUGACAGACACUAUCUUCAGUGUAGGAACUGAAUACCUUGUGAAACUGCUUGAAAGGUGUGACACAGAAUAGUAGCAACAAGACAAAAGUCGUCUACAUAAUACUACAUAACACAACUCUAAUGGUUUGAGCAAGUUCAUUCAUCUAUGGAUCAGGGUACUCGCUGUUAUCUUAGAAGUGAUCAAAACUUUGCUGAAUAGUUUACUUUUAAUCAAGCAAUUCUAAAUUUAGGGGGUUUUUUUUAAUCCUUCACAGUCUCCUAAAUCAUUGCACACCUUACAAAACUCUAUUAGAACUAUUAAAAGGACCCCAACCAUUAGGUCCAGUUGUGGACGACUCUGGGGUUGCAACGCUCAUCUCGCUUUACUUGAUGAGGGAGCUAUUAUUGUGUUUCAAUUAAUCACAUUUCAAGUAUCUCAUACAGCCUUACUGAAAAGAGAAAAAUAGAUCUAAAGAGCCUCUAACUGUAAAAUGUUGUGAAUGAUACUAGGCUCUUAUGCAUAAAAGUUAGUCUUAAAAAAUAAUAAUAAUUACAUUAUACAGAGACAGAAAAUGAUAAUAUUUUAGUAGAUUUUAUCCUGUAAAGGUAAAGGUAAAGGGACCCCUGACCAUUAGGUCCAGUCGUGACCGACUCUGGGGUUGCGCGCUCAUCUCGCAUUAUUGGCCGAGGGAGCCGGCAUAUAGCUUCCAGGUCAUGUGGCCAGCAUGACAAAGCCGCUUCUGGCAAACCAGAGCAGCACACGGAAACGCCGUUUACCUUCCCGCUGUAGCGGUUCCUAUUUAUCUACUUGCAUUGUGAUGUGCUUUCGAACUGCUAGGCUGGCAGGAGCUGGGACCAAGCAACGGGAGCUCACCCCAUCACAGGGAUUCGAACCGCCGACCUUCUGAUCAGCAAGCCCUAGGGUCUGUGGUUUAAUCCACAGUGCCACCUGUAUCCUGUAUUAUGUGUUAACUGGCACUAGAUUAGGUCGUAGUUGCCGCUCCAGGCCCGUGUAGCAUGCAGCCAAGAGAGGAGAUAAAUAAGACACAGGACAACAGGACUUGGGUUCAAAUAGGCCACAACUUUUGUUUAUUACAUAUGUGACGAAGGCAUUGGGUGUGUAUCCUGAAUUAGCUCACCCGCCUGCUUGCUGAUUGUUUCGGCUGGGUUGAAACUGGGUUAAGGGUCACUCCAUGAUGUACAAUUCCAGGACUGCCAUUUUGGGAGGGUGCUAUGGUCUGUUGACCCCCGUCUGGACACCUGGACUAACACCUCCUCCUGGACCCUUUCAGCAGAGUACCAAUUUCCUGUUGUGGAGGGGGACGAGCCCUGAACCCCUGCCCAGGCUAAGGUUCCAGGUCAAAGUCUCCAGCCAGGUCCACCACUAUGGUCAUAGCCCCUUGCCUGCUCAUGAUUGGUUGAUUCAACUGAGCAGGCUCCCAGCAGCCCAUGCAACCAUAGGAGGAUGCACUGAUGUUCUCAAACAGUUGUGUGGGACAGAACAAUGGCCCCUAGCUCAUUGCAGUCACACUGGGCUAUAAUCCACCGCUUCCUAGCAUUAGAUGGUAAGUGGCCAUUUUUCAUUAUAUGGUAAAGAAGGUUCUAAAGUUCUGAUUAUUUAAUUUAAAAAAUAAAUAAAUUUAACAGGAUAUCUCAAUAAAGAAGCACUUGGUAAACAGCCUGCAAUUCACUCUUGAAGUGCCCCCCUCCCAAAGCAGGAUUCAACAUAUCUCCAAGCAUUCGGGUGGGGUGAUAAAGUUUCUGGGAAGUGAUUUCCUUUGGCAUCGUUCAGUUCUUUGUCUAGGUAUUUCUACAUACAUGUGGAUUUAUCAUGCCAUACUGGGUCAUGCAACAUAAAAGUGUACGAUCAAAGCAACGGCUAGGCACUUUUCAUUGUUUUAUGUAUUUAAAUAUUUCUAUACUGUAUAGCCAUUUCAGAGAGAGAGAAAUUACAUUAAAAAUUCACUAGCAAGUGAGAUUCAAAUCUUUUUGAUAUGCUCACUUUAAUGACUGUCAUUGUAUUUGUGAGGGUGUGUGGGAUGGAUGUACGAGCAAAGGUCUAACAAGCAAGGUCUUGGUGAAAGAAAACACUGGAGUUGUGACAAAGAGUGUCAGAGUGUUUGAUGCUCCACAGGUACCGGUAACUUGUUUCAGGAUGCUUUGUAUGCUAAAAAAUCUCGUAAGAGUUUCAAAUAAAUAAAGCGUGCUUGUUGCUGAUAAAA